rnacentral:rRNA from 1 species
UCUACGGGAGGCAGCAGUGAGGAAUAUUGGUCAAUGGGCGAUGGCCUGAACCAGCCAAGUAGCGUGAAGGAUGACUGCCUAUGGGUUGUAAACUUCUUUUAUAAAGGAAUAAGUCGGGUAUGCAUACCCGUUUGCAUGUACUUUAUGAAUAAGGAUCGGCUAACUCCGUGCCAGCAGCCGCGGUAAUACGGAGGAUCCGAGCGUUAUCCGGAUUUAUUGGGUUUAAAGGGAGCGUAGAUGGAUGUUUAAGUCAGUUGUGAAAGUUUGCGGCUCAACCGUAAAAUUGCAGUUGAUACUGGAUGUCUUGAGU